GGUCCAGCCUGCCCAGUGACAAGUUCAACGGCCGCGGUACCCUAACCGUGCAAAGGUAGCAUAAUCACCUGUUCUUUAAAUGAGGACUCGUAUCAACGGCACCACGAGGGUUGCACUGUCUCCCCCCUCUAAUCAGUGAAACUGAUCUCCCCGUGAAGAAGCGGGGGUACAACUAUAAGACGAGAAGACCCCAUGGAGCUUAAAACCCAACGGCAACUCAACCCCACACACUUCCCCGCACCAAAAGAGCAUGCCUAACGGUUUUAGGUUGGGGCGACCACGGAGUAAAAACCAACCUCCGUGACGAAAAGAACUAAAUCUUUAUCCCAGAGCCACCCCUCCAAGAAUUAGAACACUAACGGACAAUGACCCGACUAUCGACCAACGAACCAAGUUACCCUGGGGAUAACAGCGCAAUCUACUUCAAGAGCCCCUAUCGACAAGUAGGCUUACGACCUCGAUGUUGGAUCAGGGUACCCCAGAGG
rnacentral:rRNA from 1 species